GGCACUAUGGCGGAGUGGUUAACGCGAGAGAUUCGAACAGGACUUGAACCUGUAUCUCUUCCUCUCUGAGGGCGCAGGUUCGAAUCCUGCUGGUGUCG
rfam:Schizophyllum commune H4-8 unplaced genomic scaffold SCHCOscaffold_3, whole genome shotgun sequence.